CAACACAUCUCUCUGUCACCAGGAACUACUGACGCCAUCCCUGUGCCACUGGGGUGAGGAACCCACAGCACUGCACCGGUUCCGCAGCAGCACAGGCUGCCCUGCUCCACCCUUAGAAGCAAACAGACUCUGCUGCUCAUCGUGGUAGAGGAGCACGUGAACAUAAAAGCACAGACACAGCGUUUGGUUUAGCAGAGCCCCACAUCUCCGUGACUGUUCACUCCCCCCAGGAACUGCAUAUGCACAAAUUGGGCCCAGUAUGCUUCAUACGGGGUAACUGGAGCCAGAUAAGUGCCUGCAAUUUUGGGAGAGUGGGGUGAGGAGAGAAGUGGGAGUGUAUGAACCACUGACCUUAAUUAGAGGAGAUAAAAAUGUUGAAACGUGAUUCCUAAGAAAACCAAGGAAGGCCUCUAUUGUUGAGUGUUUCCACAUGGAUGCCACUGAGAAGAGGUCAAGUGCUUUCUAUAUACUUUAAGUAAACAGCAGAUUGUGAGCUCAUAGUCUGGAUUUGAGCAGCCCCUGUGUUCUGCAAGAUAAUAAUUGAGUCUUAUGCACUUAAGGUUUGAUAUCUAUUGACAUUAUUACUUGAGAAUUGCCAGGAAACAGAGCGACAAUUAAGAGUAUAAAGUUUGCUAGUAAAGCUAUGCCUAAUGUCAUACAUGGCUAAUCCCAUGCUAGGAUGGUCUCCUACUCUAGGAGAGCAUCCAUGAUGGACCCUCUUAAAAAAGGGUCUCUGCUGUUGGUGGCUUUCCCUGGUAAAGACCUGUGUGCCUCCUCACAUCUUCAUUGUUAUGUAAACAAUGUACACAGCCUGCAGAAUUACAUCUGCUAAAUGAGGAAUGGGUUGUAUGUCAGGAGUAAAGUGCUCCAAAGAAGGUAGUUUAUUUCCCUGCUACUGUGGAGCGUAUCAAGCCAAGUUAAAACGUUAACCCUAAAAUUCUUCUGUUCUUCUUUGCAGCUAUCCAGACUGAAGGUUAAGAAGAUUGAAUGUGGUAGCUUUGUUGCAAAACCAGCUCCAUUUCCCUACCUGGAAGUGGGACAACAGUGAAAUCAGAAAUUACAGCCUUACUUCAUAUCUGCAGAUUCAGCUGUCGUGUCAUUGCCCACAAUCACGGUAUCAUCAGAUAGCAGCAUUCAUCUCAGGUGCUCAGUAUCCCUUCCACACCCUGGAGAGACUAUGCCCUUAUUAAAGGUCUUAUUUAUAGACAGGGAAACUGAGGCAAUGAUCCACGGCCACAGAAAUCAGUGGCAGAUCUUCCACAGCUCCAACUAGACCCAGCAGACCUAGUAACUUCUCCAGGGAAGAGAGGGCAGGAGUGCUCUUAGGGGCAUGACUGCAAGCAGAUGAAUCCCUUGAAAUCUUCUGUCCACUCAGUGGGCUUCCCAUGCAGAUCUAAAAUACUAGGGAGCCAAAUUAUUUAAGGUGUAUUGCUGAGAGGAGGGAACGAGGCAUGAAACUUGGGAAGCUCAGUCCCAAAGACUCCCCUUAGAAGCCAAGCUGUAAUGCUUUAUACGCACCUGAAGCAAAAACUCCCUCUUCCCCUGUCUGCAUCUGCCUGUGAAAAGAGAACAGGCAGAGAGCUGAUUUGUGAACGCUUUCUUGCUAGAUUUGAAACCUCUGUCCUUGAUUGAAGUGGGGAAUGCAAUUGCACAAGUCAUUAAUAAUUACUGACAAACCAAAGUAGUAUUGGAACCCAGUAAAACCUCCUCCCACUAGGACUGAAUCCUGGAAAAGAGCCCUGGGAGCUCCAGCCUGUUUGCAUUUCCUAUUUUUUGGCGAAAUCUGUGUGGAAUUGCUGGGUCUCCAAACCGUGCGCAUACUCAGAGUAGGGGAUGUCUGUACGUGCAGAUCAAGGGACGUGAACUUCAUCUACACAGACGGCAAAAAGCAGCUUGCAGUUACUUUAACAUGUGACCAGUCCCAAUUAUGGCUUCUUCCACAUGGCAUCAGCAUGCGAUGGAGGAUCUCACUCUUCUUUUGCCAGAGGCAAAUGAAUACAUUACCCAGCAGCGAGGCGUGGGGCAGCGGAUGCCUCACUCUGGGGUGAUUUGGAUUCCACGCUCGCGUGGGGGUGUGAGCCAACCUCAGAAGUCAUUUUCACUGAUGCUGACACAUAAGGCUUCCCUCAGAGACCUGUCUAUCAAACUGCAACAUGCUAUGCAGAAAAAUUAGAUUACUCAUGCUACAAUAAAGAAGAGGAAGAUGACAACAAUGAGAAAACAAACCCCAAACCUCAAAAUAUAACAGCUAUUUAUUGAAUGAAUAAAAAUCCUGACGAGGGGAAAGUACCCUAGAGACUAUUUAUUUCUCUAUUUUACCUCUUGCAACCUGUUUCAAGGAGAGCAGGUUGGAAAGACCCUAUUAAUUCAGACACUGCCUCUGGAAAAACCACCACUUCAUCAUGAUUGUCACAUUACUGUACUUGUGAAAUAUCAUCUUAAAUAGUCAUUAUGAUUUUGCUGCUGGUCUUGCUGCACUUAGCAGCAGGAUUUCCUUUGGCUUUGGUAAAAGCAGGAUCAGGCCCCCUCUCUCUUUCCGUCUCUGAAUUGCAAAUGGAUUGCUCACGUGUCAGCUCGGUAACUAGGCAAAGUUCAGCAUGCUCAGUUCAAAGCAUGCAAGAUGAAGCUCAGGGCAUUUCACUCACAGUAUUUGCCAAGUUCCUCAGGUCUACAAAAGUGUUAAAGUGGUUUAAUACAAAAUCCAUAAGACAAACAUUAUGCAGCUAUGUGAACCCCUGUCCAAUAAAAUCUAUUUUUUUUGGAAAAAAAAAUACAAAGUAGUAAAACAUACACUUCGUAAAGAAAAGAAAAGGCUGGGUGAAGCUUAGUAAAAUCCUGUAAAUCAGAAUGCUGAGAGCUUCAGGAAGGGUGAUUUAAAACAAAUCUGCAGCAGAACACACACAGACACACACACAAUCCCGAGCUGGAAACGGACCUGGACAAGUGCCGAGGUUAGAGCAUCUCAAGACAGCACUGCAGGAAUGGUUUUACAGUAUUAGAUAAUGGAAAGGUUUGGCCAAAGGCUGAUUUUUCUUCUCUAGUAAUAACAAACCUGUGCUGGGGCUUCUGCAGUAUUUGCUCCUUGAGUUACUCCCCAGGAAUGCUAUUUGGGAAGGCUAAUUGAAAUUUUUAACUCCACCUGCCCUGAAUCAUCUUACAGUUGUACUGCUCGCAGCUGCAAAUUCUGUUUUACCUACUGUUAUCAUUUUAUAAGAAACCAGUUGUGUAUGGGCUUGAUUUGUGAAGCAGCUCCAGCCACUUCCCAUGGGGUUUAUGUUCCCCUCUUGAGCCUCUUUUCCAAAUAUUUCUUCCCAGAGAUAAGUUUUGGUUCCCAUCCAAAUGAAAAGAGGAGAAGCGUAAGCUCUUCUGUGGCCCUGCGUCUUGCACAGCCUCAGAGGAGCUCGUGGCCUCCUGACCGGAGCCAAGAACAGAUGCAAGUUUGCCUUUCCCUGCUCAUUCUCCAGCUGUGUGACGCUGCCAUGUGCAGUGGUGUGGAUCAACCCGGCUGCACCCUUUUAAGCCUGGUGAGGGGUUCUUUUGGGGUUUGGCUUCUUAGCAUAGGCAAGCAAUUUCAGCAUGACCACGCGGCAGGGAAGUACAUUGAAUUAUAGAUCUCUUUAAAACUGUCGGGAGCAAACAUGAUCAGAUCUGGUUCUUGAUCUCAUUACUGUCUAAAAGAUUUGGUUGGCAUUUUUAAAUGCCAUGAUUUAUGUUCAUCACCUUAACACGGCCCUUGGAAGUGUAAACCCAGUAACUCUGUUAUUCUCCAGGGCAACUCUAAAGAAUCUGUUUGGAGAAUUCACACAACACUAUGUCUAUAUGAAGAUAUUAACAUGGAUUAAGACAAGUUGAUAGAUUUUAAACCAGGCUAUACAAUGAAAACCAGUGAGAAUAAAUCAAAUAGCUUUGCCUAACUACAGAAAGUGUUUGCAAAGCCCUGUAAGGUUUCCAUUUCCUAAAGCCACCUGCCAUCUCAAAUGCCCCUAAUCAGUCACAGAUGCUGGAUACCAACCUGCUAACCCUACGGCUUUGAGAGAAAAUAUUGCACUUUGUAAACUCAUUCUUGGGUAUUUCCUUAAUUUUUCUUAAACUAAACUUUUAUCCCCUAUUUUCCACUUAAAUGUAAUGAGUUAAAUCAACUCUGACAUUUUGCCCUGCUCACCUCCCAGUUCUGCUCAGCUGCUUCCCUACCUACUUCUUGAAACGUCUCAAGACCUCAGGUUUGGGGUUAUUUUUUCACUCCACAUCUCCUGGUGUUGAGCAGUCCUCUUAAAGGCAGAGGUUUCACUACUGCUGUAACCUAUUGCCAAUGGAAAAAUGAAUGUUUUUCUGCACUUAACUAAUGUUUAUCUUUACAAUGAAGAUCUAUCAAAUACUGAGCUUUGCUGAACUACUGUGGAAACCCUUUUUAACCCCUCAAACAAUUAAACCCCCCCUAUCAAAUAAAAGUCCAUCCCUGAAGAAAUAAGCAUUUUAGAGGCCACAUCCAGCACCCACUGGAAUCAAACUGAAAAAUUUCACAGAUAAGGGAAGGUACCAAAACAGGCCCUGCUGCCAGAGACCAUCAGAUGCUGUUCUCAAGCAGAACAGGGGGUUGCCUUGGCUCUGGAAGGAGCCAUUAUUCCACUUUAGCUCGUGAAGACAGACUGGGUGUGGGAGUUGUAAUGGAGGUAGGAAACAGACUGGAUUUUAUUAGUCUUCCAUCAUCUUUAAGAGAUCCCUAACCAGAUCAGGUUUCAGCCUCUUGCUCCACUCUUGUGUCAACCUUUGGUUCUGUUUUUGCUGGAGGAUAAGUUUCAUUAUAUUAAUAAGCAGCACAAGUGGUUCCAAUUGUGGAAGAACCACUCGGAGCUGUCAGAAAUGAUCAGAGGAGAAGUUUCAGCCUCUCCAUGAUCACAGCCUCUUCUUCUGGUGCCUCAGCUCAGCACCUCCCCAGUGCACUUCACGUUUUUAACAGCCAUGACAAUAAUAAAAAAGGCCGUUUACAUUUCAGCCAGGGGAGGUUAUUUUAAGGAAUUUAUUCUCUGAUCAUGGUAGUCCAUCAAUGCUCGGAAACCAGACGGUAAUGGGAGUAAUUGGGCUAACAUCCAAUCUACUGGCUGGGAGACUAGAUCUAGACAUGCAUGUAAACUAUACAUCUUCAGUCUCCUACUGCAGUCAAAUUUCAAGCACAAGCAUCUUUAAUUAUGCCACUAAACCAGGAAGUUUAUAGCUAAGUUUAUAAUAUUUCUUAGGACAAAGAAAGAAGUAGUGAGAAAGACUCAGAACAAAACACGCCAAAAGCUGAGAGUGUUGGGUCCUUAUCAUAGAGUGAUCUGUUAGUGUUUACCAGCAAUAACGCUCAGCAUUUGUCCCCCUCACAGCAUCCACCCAAAGGAAAGGGGUUUAGGUAGACAGAGUAAUUAAAGAACCCCUACAAGAGUGGAAAUAUUACCAGAUUAAUUUUGCAGAUAGGAAAAUGAAGCACAGAAAGAUUUAAAUUCAUCUGAGUUCAACAAACCGGACAGUACAAAGGAGAUGUUCUGACUCAUAACCCUGUGCUCCAACCACUACAAGAAGAUGGGUACCCAUGGGACAGGCAGAGAGCAGCGUUCAUGGUGCACAUCUCCACCAGCAUCCACUCCCUGGGCUGCAGGGCUGGGGUUUGGGUUCACAUAUGUACCAUGAAAGGACUGAGGAUCUCGCUGCUCCCUGACAGACUCCACCACUGCCCUGGGAGGAACUGAGCGAAGUUUAGUUUUCAGAUGAGAGUCACCCGGGACUAGUGACUGAAAUGUCAUCUGUGUGAUGGAACAAGAAAAAGAAGGGAGAAAUGUAAAAGGGAAUCUUUGUAGCCAGGACUACCUGACUCUCCCGCAGUAGGAGACACAGGAAUAGCGUUUCAUGUCAUGGAGAUGUAGUUAAAAUGCAGACUGCAUAUCCUUGUUCUCAGAAUUUGAGAGGUGGGGUUUAUGCAUGUGGACAAGCCAUCGUUCCUCCCUUUGAUCUACCACUUGAUGUAGAGGAAGGCUUUUAUGUGUUAGUCUCAUAUAAUGGAUAAUUUAGUCUGAAACCAGUUUGCAAAAGUCUUACACUUUGGGUACAUAUGCUUCAAUUAUUCUUGAAAGUACACAGAAAUAUUUCAUGCCAUUCACAUCUAUUUCAAGGGGAAAAAAAAUCAAACCCAGAAUUUUUGUUGAGCACCCAAACAGAUUUGUUCUCCUGAGGGAAGUUUGGGUUUUAAACGAAUUCUGCCAUUUUGUGAAUUAAUUGAAAGGUAGAAUGUAAUCUUUAAUUGGAGAAAUGUCAGUCAUUCAUUAACAUUACCUGGGGUACCUACUGCUCUUUAGCUGCAUGUGUUUAUUCACUUUAUGAAUAAAACUACUUAACACAAA